GGGGGUAUAGCUCAGUGAUAGAGCAUGUGCUUAGCAUGCUCGAGGUCCUGGGUUCAAUUCCCAGUACCUCCA
rnacentral:tRNA from 1 species